rnacentral:rRNA from 1 species
UACGUAGGGCGCAAGCGUUGUCCGGAAUUACUGGGCGUAAAGCGCACGUAGGCGGCUUUGCAAGUUAGAGGUGAAAGCCUGGGGCUCAACUCCAGAACUGCCUUUAAAACUGCAUCGCUUGAAUCCAGGAGAGGUGAGUGGAAUUCCUAGUGUAGCGGUGAAAUGCGUAGAUAUUAGGAGGAACACCAGUGGCGAAGGCGGCUUUCUGGACUGUAACUGACACUGAGGCACGAAAGCGUGGGGAGCAAACAGG